GGACUACUGGGGUAUCUAAUCCCGUUCGCUCCCCGAGCUUUCGCGCCUCAGCGUCAGUGACUGCCCAGUGGGCCGCCUUCGCCACCGGUGUUCCUCCUGAUCUCUACGCAUUUCACCACUACACCAGGAAUUCCACCCACCUCUGCAGUCCUCAAGCCUCCCAGUUUUGAACGACCCCUCCCAGUUAGGCCGGGAGAUUUCACGUCCAACUUAACAAGCCACCUGCGCGCGCUUUACGCCCAGUAAUUCCGGAUAACGCUCGCCUCGUACGUAUUACCGCGGCUGCUGGCAC
rnacentral:rRNA from 1 species